rnacentral:RNase_P_RNA from 1 species
GGCAGCCGCGUGCCGCAAGGUACGAGGAAAGUCCGGGCUCCACGAAACAAGGGUGGCGGGUAACGCCCGCCCGGUCGCUGUCCUCGGAUGGCGGCCGAGGGAAAGUGCCACAGAGAGCAAACCGCCGAUGGCCUGCUUGCAGGUCCAGGCAAGGGUGAAAGGGUGCGGUAAGAGCGCACCGGGGCUUCGGCAACGCGGCCCGCAUGGCAAACCCCACCCGGAGCAAGGCCGAAUAGGGGCGGCGCGCCCGCGCAAGCGGGCAGGUGCGUUUCGCAUCGACCGCCCGGGUUGGCUGCUUGAGCUUCGGAGCAAUCCGAAGCCUAGACGAAUGGCUGCC